GGUUCAGUAGCAUAGUGGUCCUGCGUCUCCAUUUGACAGUCUGUAUAAGUCUUCUGUGAUGUUGCAAGGAGAAGAAUACCCGUUCAACUCGGGUCUGAACCA